CGGUGGAAGUAUUUGCAAUGGGUGAGUUUUAAUCUACAUUUUAUACUCGAUGUAAAAAGAGAGACCCAGAUCCGCUAAUGUUAAGAGCACUCGAAAUAAAUACACAUUCGAGGCAUUGUGAAAAAUGUUUUUUGUCUUUGACUUCCUAUAGUUAGCACAGUUAGCAUUAGGGAGCUAGCUGCUCACAGCUAAUCAUGGUCUGAUUUUCUUUUAGGCUCGUUUUUAGGGCCGCAAUCUUCGAAAUAACUCCGAAUUGUGUUAUAAGGAAUCAUUAUGUGCCUUGUUUAAAGCUGUAAUAAUUUCUAGCCCCUACUUUAAAAUGUUUUAUUUCCAGGAUAACACGUGGCCAGGCUGCGGAUCGAAACCCGGAUCUAACCGUUUAAAAUUAAUAUUUUCCAUCAGUGCUUAAAGACACGAUUGACUAAUAAUCAUCCCCGAUUAAGAAACAUUAUCUUAAUACGUUAUUAUGGGGAUCAGUUUGUCAAAUUCUAAUCCUAGUGGAUAAAACAGUGUGUCCAAAAUAAUAUAAAUGAGCACUGAGCAUAUUGAUGCAAACCAAAGAUUUCUUUAGACUGAAAACCCUAAUAUAUGGCGGUCAGUAGGUUUCCCCGUUAACCACAUCCUGCUCUUGUUCAUCUGGGAUUCUCCAGCUCUGUGGACCAAUUCCAGGGCAGCAGUGGUGAGAGAAAUGUCAGGUUUUGCUUUCACAUCUGCAGUAUUGGUUGCAGAAAAGUGACAAUGAGGCCUGAGACAGUAAUUAUUCAUGGAUUCCAUUGUUUCUGUUUUAAAACUGCUUUAAAGUCUUACUAAAAUACAACAUUGAUAUUUAAAAUGUGUACAAGCACACUAGAACCAAUGCAAAAAAAUAAACUAUUUUUGUUUUUCCUCUUAUAGGGAAUAAACCAGAACUGGACCAUCAUGCCAAUAAAUCACCCUGUCACUUGGUGGUGAACUAUUUGGAGAUCUGGUGCCCUGGAUGACCUCACAACUCCUGGGUUCAGCCAUCUUGAUUCACUGAUGUGAGAUCGCAUAUCUGCUUGCUGUCAGAUAAACAUGUCCAACUUCAGAGUGCUACUUGGUCUGCAUCGUGGUGCCAGGAUGACUUGCAUUUGGAUGUAGCAGCUGCCUGAGUCGUAGAAGCUUGGGGUGUUAAGGGUCCAGCUGAAGCAGAUUGCCUGAGACUGAUGCAUGGUGACUCUUCGUCUGCAUCUGAGGUCAGUUUUUCACCUGAAAUCUAAUGACUAUAUCCCCCUAUUGAUUUAUCCCCAUUUCCUAAAUUAAGUCUUUACCUUGUAUGCAAAAGUAGAUUUUUUUUUUUUUUUUUUUCAUAAACUGUUUUUAUGUUUGGUGUUUAAAAGUAGAAUGUGAAGCUUUUCUGUAUGUUUGGUCAUAUACCAAGGCUUUCAGGAUCUCAUCUUCCUGCUUUGCUGUGGACUUGACCAGAAAUUAAACCAUCCCAGUACGCCUCUGCAGCAGUGUUUGUAGAGAACCUAUUGGGAACAUGUAAAAGUGAAUUAACUGUCCUAAAGUGUUAUAUCAACAGUACAAUUGUCUGUCUAAAUGCUGAACUUUCUGUUUAUA